CAGAGCUUCCAGCUCCUGAUCACCAUCCUUCCCUCAACAACGGAGACGGCGGGCAUGCUUCAGCCAGCGAUAUGAGGAGCUGCUGUUUGGGCGCGUACUGAAGUACCGUGGCACCGUGAUCAUGGCAGGUGAAACCUGAGGAAGAAAAGCAUCAAGAGUGAGGAGGGCACAGCUCAGUGCUACAGCACAUGCUCAGCACAUCCAUGAAUCAAGAUGGCAGAGUGGUAGGACCACGAGCUCACCUCUCCUCGCAAAUACAACAAAACCACAACUGACUGCGAGAUAACCAUCAAAAAAAAAGACUAGACCUAGCAGAAAAGAUCUUCUGCAACUGGAAACAUAAAGAGGGAACCACAGCCAGAAGGUAGG